rnacentral:rRNA from 1 species
AGCAGCCGCGGUAAUUCCAGCUCCAAUAGCGUAUAUUAAAGUUGCUGCAGUUAAAAAGCUCAUAGUUGAAUUUCGGGACUAAUAUGUCGGUCGUGCCUCGGUACGUACUGGUUUAUUGGUUUCUCCUUUCUGAAGAACCAUGAUGUCAUUUAUUUGGUGUCGUGGGGAAUCAGGACUGUUACUUUGAAAAAAUUAGAGUGUUUAAAGCAGGCUCACGCUUGAAUACAUUAGCAUGGAAUAAUGAAAUAGGACGUUUGAUUCUAUUUUGUUGGUUUCUAGGAUCGACGUAAUGAUUAAUAGGGAUAGUUGGGGGCAUUAGUAUUCAAUUGUCAGAGGUGAAAUUCUUGGAUUUAUUGAAGACUAACUACUGCGAAAGCAUUUGCCAAGGAUGUUUUCAUUAAUCAAGAACGAAAGUUAGGGAUCGAAGACGAUCAGAUACCGUCGUAGUCUUAACCAUAAACUAUGCCGACUAGGGAUCGGAUGAUGUUAAUUUUUUAAUGACUCAUUCGGCGCCUUACGG